GCUCGACGUUGGCGUAGAAGGAAAUACGUUUCGGACGUCACCUUCACGGAUUACGGGGGGGAAUGUAAGUUGCGCCACGUCGACCAGCGAACCCCACGCUUCCCCAUCAACCAUCACUGAUGACAAGUCGAUCGAUGAUUGCCGCUCCCACAGCACACGCGGAGGAUCGGCUUGCAACGAAACAUCAAAAAAGGGCAGUCAUAAGUCACCUAAGUCACCUCAAAAACGAUUUUGAGAGAAAUUGUUUAGACGUAUCACCAGAAUUAGAGUUUAUGCCACGACAUUUAUUCAAUUAGAAUUAGUUAAAAAUUGAACCUUCAUUUAAUACGGCUACUUGUCUUGCUUUACAGAUUUCUAAGAAGAGCGUAAAAAUCAUUGCACUAUAAAUUUGGGAAACUAUGUGGUUAGGUUCUUUAACUGAAUAGCCCAUCCCUACCCAUUAUAAGUUGUGAUCGACUUGAGUUUGCUCGUGAUUACUAAAGUAUUUUAUAAUUUACAUCAAUACGAACCGAAUAAAUUCAUGAAAUCAUCAAUUACGAGCAUUGUCGGCCAACAAGUGUUCGAAAGGUGUAAUUUAUAAAAAUGACACACUUUCCACGCGUAGUGUUUAAUACGUGAAAAAUCAACAGCUUAGUACGUUUUCACCUAUCAGGAAGUUUGCACAUCAUGUUUCAAAAAAAAAACUUCUCAGCCAUAAGCUUCGUAGAUAUCACUCAAAAAUAUAUGCCCUAGACCUCACAAAAACACUACAUUUUAUGCACUUCAAUGCAUUUUAUCCAGCGCAAUCAGUCUCAAUGAACUAAAAAAAACAAAUUGAUGAUCUCUUCCUAGCAGGCCCACAAAACCCAUCCACCACAACGUGCUUCUCUCCGCGAUCAUCUCACACCAGCUCAAAAAUUUAUUCUUUUCACCACCACACACUGUUCACAGAAACAAAAACUCGCCGGGAAGCUAUCUAUCGACUCCACGCGACAUGACUCCAGCCAGCGCUCACUUCUGUAGUAGGAGGCAGCCGAAAUUCGCACUUUUGUUUUGAUGGAUUUCGACUGUGGCCAUGUGUGUUUCUCGCGUGUAUUUCGCUACUCGGUCGCUUCUGCUGCUAUUGUUGUUGCUACUCUGCUCUCGCCCAGACUGGUAUUGGUAUUUCGAAUUCCAAAGCAUAUGCACGAUAAACACAACAAAAACGAAGAAACGUUCUUGCUCGGCGAUCCGGUGAACGAAGAUCGCGACCGACGACGAUUCGCACAACACCACAGGUCGAGACGGGGCGGGCAAUGGGUGAAGGGAAUCCACGGAAGAUGCUGCUGCUGUUGCACUAGGUGACACACAUUCGAUAGCAUGC